rnacentral:sRNA from 1 species
UGCGAAUCGUGGGUGGGAUGGCCGUGGGCCGCCUCUUUCUAAGUCGGCUUCGAGCACCCUUCAGUUCCAUGGCCAAGAGCCCACUCGAGGGCGUUUCCUCCUCCAGAGGCCUGCACGCGGGGCGCGGGCCCCGAAGGCUCUCCAUCGAAGGCAACAUUGCUGUGGGGAAGUCCACGUUUGUGAAGUUACUCACGAAAACUUACCCAGAAUGGCACGUAGCUACAGAACCUGUAGCAACAUGGCAGAAUAUCCAGGCUGCUGGCACCCAAAAAGCCUGCACUGCCCAAAGUCUUGGAAACUUGCUGGAUAUGAUGUACCGGGAGCCAGCACGAUGGUCCUACACAUUCCAGACAUUUUCCUUUUUGAGCCGCCUGAAAGUACAGCUGGAGCCCUUCCCUGAGAAACUCUUACAGGCCAGGAAGCCAGUACAGAUCUUUGAGAGGUCUGUGUACAGUGACAGAAUCUUUUUGAAAAUGGUUCCCUCAGUGACAUCGAGUGGCAUAUCUAUCAGGACUGGCAUUCUUUUCUCCUGUGGGAGUUUGCCAGCCGGAUCACAUUACAUGGCUUCAUCUACCUCCAGGCUUCUCCCCAGGCUCCACUUUGAGGCUCUGAUGAACAUUCCAGUGCUGGUGUUGGAUGUCAAUGAUGAUUUUUCUGAGGAAGUAACCAAACAGGAAGACCUCAUGAGGGAG